rnacentral:rRNA from 1 species
GACGAACGCUGGCGGCGUGCUUAACACAUGCAAGUCGAACGGAGAGGCCCUGCUUUUGCGGGGUGCUCGAGUGGCGAACGGGUGAGUAACACGUGAGUAACCUGCCCUUGACUUUGGGAUAACUUCAGGAAACUGGGGCUAAUACCGGAUAGGAGCUCCUGCUGCAGGGUGGGGGUUGGAAAGUUUCGGCGGUUGGGGAUGGACUCGCGGCUUAUCAGCUUGUUGGUGGGGUAGUGGCUUACCAAGGCUUCGACGGGUAGCCGGCCUGAGAGGGUGACCGGCCACAUUGGGACUGAGAUACGGCCCAGACGCCUACGUGAGGCAGCAGUGGGGAAUAUUGCACAAUGGGCGGAAGCCUGAUGCAGCAGCGCCGCGUGCGGGAUGACGGCCUUCGGGGUGUAAACCGCUUUCGCCUGUGACGAAGCGUGAGUGACGGUAAUGGGUAAAGAAGCACCGGCUAACUACGUG